GACGAACGCUGGCGGCGUGCCUAAUACAUGCAAGUCGAACGCAGUGGGGACGGGUGAGUAACACGUGGGUAACCUCCCAUCAGAGGGGAUAACACUUGGAAACAGGUGCUAAACCGAUACUGAUGGAUGGACCCGCGGUGCAUUAGCUAGUUGGUGAGGUAACGGCUCACCAAGGCCACGAUGCAUAGACGACCUGAGAGGGUAAGCGGCAAGACUGAGCAUGAGACACGGCCCAGACGCCUACGGGAGGCAGCAGUAGGGAAUCUACGGCAAUGGACGAAAGUCUGACCGAGCAACGGCGCGUGAGGGAAGAAGGAUUUCGGAUCGUAAAACGCUGUUGUGAGAGAAGCGGGAUCUAACCGGAAAGCCACGGCUAACUCCGUGCCAGCAGCCGCGGUAAUAC
rnacentral:rRNA from 1 species